GAGUUUGAUCCUGGCUCAGAAUCAACGCUGGCGGCGUGCCUAACACAUGCAAGUCGAACGAGAAAGUGGAGCAAUCCAUGAGUAAAGUGGCGACCGGGUGAGUAACACGUGACUAACCUACCUUCAAGUGGGGGAUAACCUCGGGAAACCGGGGCUAAUACCGCAUAACAUCUUUGGAGCGGAAGAACCGGAGAUCAAAGGAGCAAUUCGCUGGAAGAGGGGGUCGCGGCUGAUUAGUUAGUUGGCGGGGUAAUGGCCCACCAAGACAGAGAUCGGUAGCCGGCCUGAGAGGGCGCACGGCCACACUGGAACUGAAACACGGUCCAGACUCCUACGGGAGGCAGCAGUGGGGAAUUUUGCGCAAUGGGGGAAACCCUGACGCAGCAACGCCGCGUGGAGGAUGAAGUCCCUUGGGACGUAAACUCCUUUCGACCGGGACGAUUAUGACGGUACCGGUGGAAGAAGCCCCGGCUAACUUCGUGCCAGCCGCCGCAGUAAC
rnacentral:rRNA from 1 species